GCCUCAAUCCUCUGCCAGGAGAUCCGGCUGCUUUUCUCACACUUUGGCUCCUCACCUCCCCUAAGCUAAUAUGCACUCCCUAGCAAAUUAUAAGCAUUCAGAACUGGAGCAGAGACUGUGGCUUGAGGGUAAAAUUAACUCUACCAGCUGAAUAGUUUCCCCUCUUCAUCAAAAUGUGCAGUUGGAGGCUUUAAAAAAUGUCUAUGUGCAUAAACUUUGUUAUUAGUUGAAAGCGGAAAUAAAUGCUAGAUAAAAAGUUUUCACAUAUGAGAGGCCUGAAACAUUCUAUACUUUUAUGCACCACUUAGUGUGUAGUCAUUUCCUGCUUUGUUCUUUUGUUGCACUAUUUAAAAUGCUUUAUCUCUCAUUUUUUAGUUCAUACAUGUUGGAAAUACUUACUGAAGGUUAUUAUGAACUAUGAUGUUCUUUUAUUGUUGAAGUAUUCCCUACUUUAGAGUUAAUGGGUUUCAUUCAAGGUCCAUGAUCCACCUAAGAUUAAUAGUAAGAUGAUAGAGUGUACAAAUGAAUAUCAUAACAUAUCGUCCUUCAGCUGGUUCUUGAAAGCUACAAGAGACAGAAUAUGGUUAUAAAUAUAUACAAAUAUGUAAUCUCCAUUGUUUUUAUAUAUAAUGCUACUGUACAUUACAAUAUCCUGAAGAAAAUGGCAUUCUUCACGAUUUUAUUCACUUGACCAGUGAAUGCUUUUCUAUCCUUUGGCAUUGGAGUGCUGUGCCUUUUAAGGAUGUUGUCAGCCUAUGCUAAUUGAAAUGUUUAUAAAAUGCUGAUUCUGAAAUAUUGCAGCUUAACAGUUCAAUAGUUCUUUAAUGGGCCCUCUGUUUUAUUAAUGAAAUGAUUUAUAGAAAUAUUUAAUCUCACUGAUUUACCAUUAGCAUUAAUGAGUCUAGUUAUUAAGCACUCUAUUUCCAAAGGCUAUGAAAACAGCCCUGGCAAGUGUGUAGUAUUUUGCGAUGAGUUAUUUGUGCUGAGAUAGAAUCAAUGCUGUGGGAAGCUUAUUCCUCAAGUGGAACAGCAUUAUUUAUAAACAUGUAACUUGAUGACUCUUUUUGUAAUUUUCAUACCAUUGCUUUUUUUACAAGAAAUUUAAUAUCAAUUAUGAAAACCAUCCCACAGCAUUUUAAAGACAUUUAGAUGAUAUAUAAAUAUAUUUUUCAUAUUAAUUAAACUAUGCUAUGACAGUAAACCAUUUAAAAAUACUUAAACUGAUCCUUGAGGAAUACAAAGGUUUAUUCUUUAGAGAAACCACAUUUGUAUUUCCUAUUGUCUCUGGUAAAUAUUUAAGAUAACUAUUACUAUUUACCCAGAGAACCUUCUUUAAAUAACAGACUGAACCCCACAAAAUAUUUGUGUCUACUUAUGACAAUAUUUCCUUUCUGUAUAUUUAAAGAUUUCACAUUUUAUGGACAGAAUUUAGUUACAUAUCUUAAGUAUAUUUAUGUGACAACUCUUCAACAUGUGACGUCACACUUUAGGGUUCCUCCUCUCCCCUCCCCUUCUUUCCCCUCUCUUCCUCUCCUUUUUUGUCUUUCAAAGGAAAUAAACAUAGUGGUUCAGAGGAUGGAUUUUAGAGGCAAACUAACUUGAAUUUAGAUACUUACACUUUGCUAGCUACGUGACUUUAGGCAAGUCCUUUUGACUUUCUGAAUCUCUGCUUCUUCCCCAGAAAAAAAAAAUAGGGAUAAAAGCAAAAUUGUGUACCUUUUAGGUUUUAUAUAAAAGCAAUAAAAUAUUGCAUGAAGAGAAUUUAGAGCACAGCCAAGUUUAUAAAUACAUUUAAUAAACAUUAGCUAUCAUCAUAAUAAAUAUGGUCUAAAAUCAAAACAGGAGGAGAGAACUAAGAAAAAGAUCAUUUUAAUUGUAUCAAGAAUGAAUAGAAUUGUAAUGCUGGAUAACCUCUAAAAGUUUUUUCUAAAGUAGAUAUUUAUAUGAUUGCAUUCUGAAACAAAGUUCUAACCUCUCUUCUACAUUUUAACCUGUGGGUUCUCCAUCCUAGAACUCAUCACCACCCCAGUCCUCACAUUGGUUGGCAUUUCUCUUGCAUACUACCAAAUACAAUAGCUGAUACUUCAGACAGAAAAUGAGCUUACAGGCUAAAAUAAAGUUCAUAAAAUGGGGGAGGGAAAAAAGAGCACUGACACUGUAUUGAAACAGUGCUUUUAUCUGACUGUUGUAUUAUGGGUAAUUAUUGUUUUCAUUAUAAUUUUCUGGCAUUUUCUAAGUUUUUGGCCAAAAGCACAAUAGGGCUUCUUAAUUUGUAUUAUCAGAAUAAGUGAGGUAACAUCUUUUUAAAAUAAGAUUUAAUUUCAUCAUCUCAAGGAUUCAUAGAAUUCCAUAUUUGCAAGUAAGUUUUUAUCAAAGCUUUAUAAUCCCCUUUAAAAUUUAUUUUGUUUUGCAUGUUUGAAUAUCAUUUUUUAAAAGUCAAAUAGAUGUCAUGAUAUGUUCAGUAGUCCCCCAAACCACUCUCAGGUUCAAUGAUCUAUUAGAAGAACUCACAGAACUCAGGUUUAUUUCAGUGAAAGUGUACAGAUUAAACACAUAGAGUCCAGGAGAGAAGAGGCGCAUGCUUUCAGUUCUCCUCUCCCGGUGGAGUCACAGGGACAAUGCUUAAUUAAUUCAGUAAGUGUGUGACAAUAUGCAAAAAUAUUGACAACCAGGGAAGCUCAAUCUGAUAACUUGGAACUUUGGGGUCUAGAUUUAUUAUUGGUCAUUGCUCAAUAGACCAAUAAUAUAUACUUAUACUGAUACAUACUUACGUCAUUUGAAAAAGCCAUAUACCUAAUAUCAUUGGGGUGUCUAUGUGUGUGUGUGUGUGUGUAUACACACAUGCACUGGUGUAUAACUG
rnacentral:lncRNA from 1 species